UACGUAGGGGGCAAGCGUUGUCCGGAUUUAUUGGGCGUAAAGAGCGUGUAGGCGGCUCGGAAAGUCGGAUGUGAAAGCCCAGGGCUCAACCCUGGAAGUGCACUCGAAAACUCCCGAGCUGGAGUCCCGGAGAGGAAGGCGGAAUUCUCGGUGUAGAGGUGAAAUUCGUAGAUAUCGAGAGGAACACCUGUGGCGAAGGCGGCCUUCUGGACGGUGACUGACGCUGAGACGCGAAAGCGUGGGGAGCAAACAGG
rnacentral:rRNA from 1 species